rnacentral:rRNA from 1 species
AUUGAACGCUGGCGGCAGGCCUAACACAUGCAAGUCGAACGAGUGGCGGACGGGUGAGUCAUGUCUGGGAACCUGCCUGAUGGCUGUGGAUAACUACUGGAAACGGUAGCUAAUACCGCAAACCAUCAGAUUUGCCCAGAUGGGAUUAGCGUGUUGGUGGGGUAACGGCUAACCAAGGCGACGAUCCCUAGCUCGUCUGAGAGGUUGACCAGCCACACUGGAACUGAGACACGGUCCAGACUCCUACGGGAGGCAGCAGUGGGGAAUAUUGCACAAUGGGCGAAAGCCUGAUGCAGCCAUGCCGCGUGUAUGAAGAAGGCCUUCGGGUUGUAAAGUUCUUUCAGCAGGGAGGCGUUACCCGCAGAAGAAGCACCGGCUAACUCCGUGCCAGCAGCCGCGGUAAUAC